UGUAUCAUUUAAUUACAACAUCUUUUGAGGCAGGAAGUAUGAAUGUACAAGUGUAAAAUCUAGUCUUUAAGUGAUUUGUUUUCCUUAUUCUUUAUUUAGGUAUGUAGGUUUUGUUGGCAUCGAAUAAGAACAGAUGAAAAUGGACUGUGUCCAGCAUGCCGUAAGGCUUACAGUGAAGAUCCAGCAGUAUACACACCCUUGUCACAAGAUGA